rnacentral:rRNA from 1 species
CCUGCAUUUGAACUGCACGCGGGAGUCUCGUAGAGGGGGUAGAAUUCCAGGUGUAGCGGUGAAAUGCGUAGAGAUGUGGAGGAAUCCCGGUGGCGAAGGCGGCCCCCUGGACGAAGACUGACGCUCAGGUGCGAAAGCGUGGGGAGCAAACAGGAUUAGAUACCCUGGUAGUCCACGCCGUGAUCUUUUCAACUUGGAGGUUGUGCCCUUGAGGCGUGGCUUCCGGAGCUUAACGGCGGUUAAAA